GAUUCACAAGAAAAUGGUAACAUUGUUACUUUUGGGGACAGAGAUAGGAGGACUUAACACCAUGUAUGCCUUGCCGUUUCUCAUGUUUAAACGGCUCCACCCAAUCCUAGAGGAACACCAGACCCACAUGAGACCUCUAUCAGCAGAACUGCUGGUGAAAAUGUGAGGAAUGUCUCUGUCCUUCCCUGACUCAUCAGACCUCAGGAUGACCUUCCUUCCUGACACAGCCCUCCUGCGCAAGUAACUCACCAUCUUCCUGUGCCCAGCUACCACCAGACACCUGCAGGUGAGCUCACUGCAAGCUUGGCGUCGUGGUGCUGCGCACAGCCCUCUUCAGCACACAGUGUCAGCACCGUCCUAUAAAAUCUCCAGCCAGCCUUUGUUUCUUUGCAGUCGGCAUCUCUCAUGCAGGCUGCCCUGUCUCCUUGCAACCUAUUUUUCUACUUUCUCCAAUAAAUCAGCCUUUUUCUGCCUACAACUGUCUUGGUAAAUUAUUUUACCCCCACGCCACUGGCCCAGAGAGCCAUCGCUCCCCUUUGACAUUUGGGCCUCCAAACUGGGAUUUUGAGGGGGCAGGGACAAUAGCUUCUAGUUAAGAGCUUAUUCUGUGGGUCCCUGAGGAAGGGAAAUGAGGCUAAC
rnacentral:lncRNA from 10 species